UUCUGCUCUCUCACCACACAAUGAGAUAACUGAUCAGUAGCUUAGAGUUAGUUCAAGGAAACUGCCCUCAAACCGAACCGACCCGAACCGAUUCUCUAUUUCUAUCUCUCUCUUUCUCAAUUCUCAAACUCUAUCGUUUCGUUCUGAUUUCCGUUGCCGAAUUGGUUGCUGGAUCUUCAGGAAAAUGGGUACGCGUCUUCGUUCUUCGCACACUUGUUUUCGUUCUUAUUGUUAUUCUACACUUACUGCUGCUACUACUACUAGUAUUGCUAGUGCUAAAAAAAACCCGAAUCACAAUCAGAGUCAAAAUCAAUUCUUGAAACCUGUUAGAGAUCAGUGCAAAUCUAGAAGCUUUAGGAAUGUUGAUGAUGCCUUAGACCUGUUUGAUAAAAUGCUUCACACGCGCCCUUUGCCUUCCAUUGCCGAUUUUAAUCACGUUUUGGGUGGCAUUGCAAGAAUGAAGCAUUACCCAGUAGUCAUUUCUCUAAUUAAACGAAUCGAAUCAUUCGGAAUCUCUCCCGAUGUUUAUACUCUUAAUAUUUUGAUUAACUGCUUCUGUCAUUGGAACCGUCUAGGUUUUGGGUUUUCUGUCUUGGCUACAAUUUUGAAACUUGGUUAUCACCCAGACUCUGUUACUCUAAACACCCUUGUGAAGGGUCUCUGUCUUCAAGGUAACAUUGCUGGAGCUGUGAAGUUGGUAGAAGAUAUGGAGAAGAAAGGGUAUCAACCUGAUGCAUUUACUUGUGGAACGAUACUAAAUGCUCUGUGUAAGAUUGGUAAGGCUGAUAUGGCUCUUGGGUUGCUCAGGAAAUUGGAAGAAGGAGAUUUUGAGCUUAAUCUGGCAGCGUAUAACACAAUCAUUGACAGUUUGUGUAAGGAUAGGUUGGUAACUGAGGCCUUGAACUUUUUGACUGAAAUGAUGAGUGAAGGCAUUCAGCCAGACCUUUUCACUUACAAUUCCUUAAUUCAAGGCCUAUGCAAUUGCGGCAGGUGGAGAGAGGCUACUACUUUGUUGAACAAGAUGGCACAGAGGAAGAUCGUGCCAGGUGUGUGGACCUUCAACAUAUUGGUGGACGCAUUUUGCAAAGAGGGGAUGUUGAUAGAGGCAAAAAAAGUUUUUGAGAAGAUGAUUCAAAGAGGUAUUGAGCCUGACGUAGUCUCUUAUAGUUCUUUAAUUGAUGGAUACUGUUUGCAAAAUAAAUUGAAGGAUGCCAUCGAAGCAUUGAACAUGAUGGUUGAGAGGGGUUGUCCACCUAAUGUUGUUAGCUAUAGCACAUUGAUUAAUGGAUUUUGUAAAAAUAAAAGAAUUGAUGAGGCAAUGAAUCUCUUUAAUGAAAUGUCCAACAAGGGAGUAACUCCUAAUGUUGUGACUUACAACACUCUUAUAGGUGGGUUUUGUCGAGUGGAGAGACAUAAGGCUGCUCUAGAGCUAUUCCAUAAAAUGCAGGCUUGUGGCCAACUUCCAGAUCCCCAAACUUAUGCUGUCUUGUUGGACGGCCUGUGUAAGAAUGGACUAGUUGUUGAGGCAAUAAAAGUGUUUCUUGAUAUGGAAGACAAAACGUUGGGCAAUUAUAUUGUGACUUACAACAUUUUGAUUGAUGGUUUGUGUAAUGUUCAGAAUCUUAAAGUUGCAAGAGAACUCUUUUAUAGUCUACCUGCAAAAGGAUUGCAACCCAAUGUUCGAACUUACAACAUAAUGCUCAAAGGGCUUUGCAAAGAGGGACUGCUAGAAGAAGCAAGUGAGAUAUUUGAGAAAAUGGAUGGGAGCGGUUGUUCACCUGACGAUUGCACAUAUAACACAAUAAUCCAAGGGUUACUGCAACAUAAUGAGACAUCAAAGGCAGUUAAAUAUCUUGAAAUAAUGGUUGAUAAGGGUUUUUCAGCAAAUGCGACAGUUGCAAGCAAGUUUUUUGACUUGCUGUCAUCUAAUCAAGUAGAUAAGAACAUUCAAGAAUUUCUCCAGAAGCCUAAGUGAAGGUCUUUUAGUUUCUCAACAUCAAGGACAAGUUUCAUAUUUUAUCCAUCACAUGUCAAUCUUUAAAAGAUGUGUAUCAUUUCAGCUUGAGAUAAAAGAUGGGGUUCUCUUUCACCAAGCUUUUUAGCUGGCCUUUUGCCAAGGAGAUGCGUAUUCUAAUGGUGGGUCUUCAUGUAGUGGGCAAGACUACCAUUUUGUACAAGUUGAAAUUGGGAGAGAUUGGGACCACCCUUCCUACCAUUGCAGGUAAAUGAUCGGUCUCAUCAAGGUGAAUAUUUAA